GACCAAGUGCAACGGUGAGGACCAUGGG
rnacentral:sRNA from 1 species